AUUGAACGCUGGCGGCAGGCCUAACACAUGCAAGUCGAGCGAGCGGCGGACGGGUGAGUACUGUCUGGGAAACUGCCUGAUGGAGGGGGAUAACUACUGGAAACGGUAUCUAAUACCGCACACCAUCAGAUGUGCCCAGAUGGUAUUAGCUAGUAGGUGGGGUAACGGCUCACCUAGGCGACGAUCCCUAGCUGGUCUGAGAGGAUGACCAGCCACACUGGAACUGAGACACGGUCCAGACUCCUACGGGAGGCAGCAGUGGGGAAUAUUGCACAAUGGGGGCAAGCCUGACGCAGCCAUGCCGCGUGAAUGAAGAAGGCCUUCGGGUUGUAAAGUUCUUUCGGUGACGAGGCGUUAAUCACAGAAGAAGCAACGGCUAACUCCGUGCCAGCCGCCGCGGUAAUUC
rnacentral:rRNA from 1 species